rfam:Aedes albopictus isolate Foshan contig90969, whole genome shotgun sequence.
AACUGGAGCCUAGUGGUUAAGGCUACGGAUCGCCAAUCCGGAGACGGCGGGUUCGAUUCCCGUUCCGGUCG